rnacentral:tRNA from 1 species
CUUAGGGCACAAGACCAGGAUUGAUACAUGUCCUAAAGCUUCAACAAAAGUUCAGCACUUUUCCCUAAUA